rnacentral:rRNA from 1 species
AGAGUUUGAUCCUGGCUCAGGAUGAACGCUGGCGGCGUGCCUAACACAUGCAAGUCGAGCGAGAAGGUUAUGAUGGAUUCUUCGGAUGAAAGAUUGACUGGAAAGCGGCGGACGGGUGAGUAACGCGUGGGUAACCUGCCCCAUACACAGGGAUAGCCAUUGGAAACGAUGAUUAAUACCUGAUGACACAUCGAGAUCGCAUGACCUUGAUGUCAAAGAUUUAUCGGUAUGGGAUGGACCCGCGUCUGAUUAGCUAGUUGGUAAGGUAACGGCUUACCAAGGCGACGAUCAGUAGCCGAUCUGAGAGGGUGAUCGGCCACACUGGAACUGAGACACGGUCCAGACUCCUACGGGAGGCAGCAGUGGGGAAUAUUGCACAAUGGGCGCAAGCCUGAUGCAGCAACGCCGCGUGAACGAAGAAGGUCUUCGGAUCGUAAAGUUCUUUUCUUAGGGAAGAAAAAUGACGGUACCUAAGGAAUAAGCACCGGCUAAAUACGUGCCAGCAGCCGCGGUAAUACGUAUGGUGCAAGCGUUAUCCGGAAUCACUGGGCGUAAAGGGAGCGUAGGCGGUUUUGCAAGUCAGAAGUGAAAGGCUACGGCUCAACCGUGGUAAGCUUUUGAAACUGCAAGACUAGAGUGCAGGAGAGGCAAGUGGAAUUCCUAGUGUAGAGGUGAAAUUCGUAGAUAUUAGGAGGAACACCAGUGGCGAAAGCGACUUGCUGGACUGUAACUGACGCUGAGGCUCGAAAGCGUGGGGAGCGAACAGGAUUAGAUACCCUGGUAGUCCACGCCGUAAACGAUGAACACUAAGUGUCGGGGGUCGAACCUCGGUGCCGCAGCUAGCGCAUUAAGUGUUCCGCCUGGGGAGUACGCACGCAAGUGUGAAACUCAAAGGAAUUGACGGGGACCCGCACAAGCAGCGGAGCAUGUGGUUUAAUUCGAAGCAACGCGAAGAACCUUACCAAGUCUUGACAUCCUCAUGACCAUCAUUUAAUCAUGAUCUCUCUUCGGAGCAUGAGUGACGGGUGGUGCAUGGUUGUCGUCAGCUCGUGUUGUGAAAUGUUGGGUUAAGUCCCGCAACGAGCGCAACCCUUAUCCUUGUUUGCCAGCGAGUAAUGUCGGGAACUCCAGGGAGACUGCCGGUGAUAAACCGGAGGAAGGUGGGGACGACGUCAAGUCAUCAUGGCCCUUACGAGUAGGGCUACACACGUGCUACAAUGGUCGCAUACAGAGGGCAGCGAACUUGCGAGAGUAAGCGAAUCCCAAAAAGCCGAUCGUAGUCCGGAUUGGAGUCUGCAACUCGACUCCAUGAAGUCGGAAUCGCUAGUAAUCGUGAAUCAGAAUGUCACGGUGAAUACGUUCCCGGGCCUUGUACACACCGCCCGUCACACCAUGGGAGUUGGGCUGCAAAAGAAGCAGGUAGUUUAACCUUCGGGAGGACGCUUGCCACUUUGUGGUUCAUGACUGGGGUGAAGUCGUAACAAGGUAGCCGUA